rnacentral:rRNA from 1 species
AUUGAACGCUGGCGGCAUGCUUUACACAUGCAAGUCGAACGGCAGCGCGGGCUUCGGCCUGUCGGCGAGUGGCGAACGGGUGAGUAAUGCAUCGGAACGUUCCCAGUAGUGGGGGAUAGCCCGGCGAAAGCCGGAUUAAUACCUCAUACGACCUGAGGGUGAAAGCGGGGGACCGAAAGGCCUCGCGCUAUUGGAGCGGCCGAUGUCGGAUUAGCUAGUUGGUGGGGCAAUGGCUUACCAAGGCGACGAUCCGUAGCUGGUCUGAGAGGACGACCAGCCACACUGGGACUGGGACACGGACCAGACUCCAACGAGAGGCAGCAGUGAAGAAUUUUGGACAAUGGGAGCAACCCUGAUCCAGACAUGCCGCGUGGGAGAAGAAGGCCUUCGGGUUGUAAACCGUUUUUGUUCGGGAAGAAAACCUCUGGGCUAAUAACGCGAGGGGAUGAAGGUACCGGAAGAAUAAGCACCGGAUAACUACGUG